rnacentral:lncRNA from 1 species
AUUAGGGCUGUAACGAUACACCAAACCCACGAUACGGUUCGUAUCACGAUUUUUUUAAAAUUUUAUUUAUUUUUAUUUUUUUGUGGGGUGGGGAACAAAAAGAUUUUUAAAACUUUUUUUAUUAAAUAACAUUUGAAAAAUCUUUAUAAACUAAAUCAAAGAACAAUAUUACCUAUGCAAAUUAUUAUCAAUAUAAAUAGCCAUAUAUAAAAUAAAUAAAUAGCCAAAGCUAUAUCACUUUUGUUUUCUUUGUAACAAAAUACUGUUGAAAAAUCAAACAGAACUAAACUCCAUUGUGUAUAUGGUUCAAGCAUGUUGAAAAUUCUUUUUCAAUCAAGUUCUCUUACAUAGAAAAAGCAAAUUAAAUGGCUACUAGGGAUGCUCAUUUCGUUAAUUUUGCUAACAGACAACCGCCGCUCAUUAAUCGGUUAUUAACGGUUAACUGGUCAGAUUACUAGGCUAUUAAUUAUAUAUUAAACAAAUUGACGUGUCUAUUUUGUGUCUGACACAUUAAAUAUUGCAUUUUAAAAUACUGAUUUAUUUUUAUAUGUUAGCAUAUUAAUAGUAGAACAAUACAACAGAGCAUCUUCACGCACAUGCAGUGUUUAGCACAGAAGAGUAGAAUAAUCUAAAUAAAAUGAAUAAAAUAAAUAGGACUGCCCUAAAUUAUUUUCAUUUAAAUAAUUAAUUUAUAUUACAAAACGAAAAUACUGACUGAUUCUUUUUAAUAACCGGCAUAGGCUUUUUUUACCAAUCAUGUUUUUACUUCCGUCAAAUAAAUAUCGCAGACUUCCUCAAAUUGCCCGCUUCACGGAAAAUAUGCAUUCAUUUAAUCCCCAGCUGUUAUUAUUAUAAUCACAAAACCUUUUACAUUUUAAUAGAAAUCAUUAUUUUAAAGAUUAUGUCCUGAUAUAGCCUAUGGUUUCCUCUCUCUCCCUCGUGGUUCAAGUGCGCGCGCUGCCUGAUGAAAAGACAACAACACGCGCACAUAUGUAGACUUUUUGUAAACAGUUUUGUUGUUAAAAUAUGAUAUUGCAUUAAUGUGCAUACAUGCUUUAUAAGCUGUAAAAUAAAAGGUAAAGCCUAUU